UCAUCGGUAGAACACGUCCAGUUCCUAGGCU
rnacentral:piRNA from 1 species